rnacentral:pre_miRNA from 1 species
GGAUUCCUUCAUGAGAAGACUUGAAAAAGUGACAAAGGUAUCUAGCUAUGCCGGAUAAUGACAAAAAUAAGCAUUGGUAUCUAACUUGCUACUUACACUUUGUUUACCAAUGCUUAUUUUCAUCAAUAUUUAGCAUAGCUAGAUACCUUCGUCACUUUGUCAAGUCUUCCAUAAAGGAAUCC